rnacentral:rRNA from 1 species
GAUAGCCUGCUGUCCAGUUUACUCCAUACGGAGAAACUGCGAAAGGCUCAUUAAAUCGGUUGGAAUCUACGUGAACACCCCCAGUACGUGGAUAACCACGGAAAAUCUGCGGCUAAUACAUGCUCUUCUGUGUGGUCUUCUUGAUCAUACUGCAUACAUUAGUUCCAAAAUCAACUUUAUUUGGGUGAUUCAUGAUGUCUAGGCGAAUCGUAUGACCUUGUGUCGACGAUGAUUCAUUUGACCUUCCGCCCCAGCAAUUGUGGAUGGUAGUGUAGUGGACUACCAUGAUCGUGACGGGUGACGGGGAAUUAGGGUUCGAUUCCGGAGAGGGAGCCUGAGAAACGGCUCCCGCCCCACGGGGAUCAGCAGGCGCGCAAAUUACCCAAUGGUCAAAGACCGAGGUAGUGACAAUUAAUACUGAUGUUGGUGAUUUAUCACUGAUAAUCGGAAUGAACUGAAGUUAAAUCUCUCUAUGAGUACCAAUU